AGUGAACGCUGGCGGCAGGCCUAACACAUGCAAGUCGAACGGCAGCACAGAGGAGCUUGCUCCUUGGGUGGCGAGUGGCGGACGGGUGAGGAAUACAUCGGAAUCUGCCUAUUUGUGGGGGAUAACGUAGGGAAACUUACGCUAAUACCGCAUACGACCUACGGGUGAAAGCGGAGGACCUUCGGGCUUCGCGCAGAUAGAUGAGCCGAUGUCGGAUUAGCUAGUUGGCGGGGUAAAGGCCCACCAAGGCGACGAUCCGUAGCUGGUUUGAGAGGAUGAUCAGCCACACUGGAACUGAGGCACGGGCCAGACUCCUACGGGAGGCAGCAGUGGGGAAUAUUGGACAAUGGGCGCAAGCCUGAUCCAGCCAUGCCGCGUGGGUGAAGAAGGCCUUCGGGUUGUAAAGCCCUUUUGUUGGGAAAGAAAAGCAGUCGGUUAAUACCCGAUUGUUCUGACGGUACCCAAAGAAUAAGCACCGGCUAACUUCGUGCCAGCCGCCGCCGUAACAC
rnacentral:rRNA from 1 species